rnacentral:rRNA from 1 species
CCUACGGGGUGCAGCAGUAGGGAAUCUUCCACAAUGGGCGGAAGCCUGAUGGAGCAAAGCCGCGUGGGUGAAGAAGGUCUUCGGAUCGUAAAACCCUGUUGUUAGAGAAGCAAGUGCGUGAGAGUAACUGUUCACGUUUCGACGGUAUCUAACCAGAAAGCCACGGCUACCUACGAGCCAGCAGGCGCGGUAAGACGUGGGUGGCAAGCGUUAUCCGGAUUUAUUGGGGGUACAGGGAAAGCGGGCGGUCUUUUAAGUCUGAUGUGAAAGGCUUCGGCUUAACCGGAGUAGUGCAUUGGAAACUGGGAGACUUGAGUGCAGAAGAGGAGAGUGGAACGCCAUGUGUAGCGGUGAAAUGCGUAGAUAUAUGGAAGAACACCAGUGGCGAAAGCGGCUCUCUGGUCUGUAACUGACGCUGAGGUUCGAAAGCGUGGGUAGCAAACAGGAUUAGAUACCCGAGUAGUC